CUUUUCGUCGUGGGAUGGAAGGCAUAGAGCAUCCAAAGAACUGCAGUAGGAGAGGGAUACAUCUGCAUCUCCUGGUGAGCACAUCAGAAUAAACCUUUGUAAUCCUGCUUUUGAGUGAUCUAAAUUGGGAACCCUAUGCUGGCUGCUGUGAUGAUAUUUUUGGCGUGUUAGACUGCUGAUGCAGAUGAAGAGACCCUGUAUCUGAGCCACCAGCAUCAGCUGCCCAGGGGCAGGUGUGCCAAGAUUGAUGUGAUGCUGAAUGAAAACCUCUGGAACCAACUGUCACUUGUUGAACUAAUCAACACAAGGAGGCUAUGAUGUGGGGAUGUCUUGAAUGUUGUAAAUAAAUAAAUUUAAAACCUG